ACCUACGGGGGGCAGCAGUGAGGAAUAUUGGUCAAUGGUCGGGAGACUGAACCAGCCAAGCCGCGUGAGGGAGGAAGGUACAGAGUAUCGUAAACCUCUUUUGUCAGGGAACAAAGACUGGGACGCGUCCCCGGAUGAGUGUACCUGAAGAAAAAGCAUCGGCUAACUCCGUGCCAGCAGCCGCGGUAAUACGGAGGAUGCGAGCGUUAUCCGGAUUUAUUGGGUUUAAAGGGUGCGUAGGCGGGCAUUUAAGCCGGCGGUCAAAUGUCGGUGCUCCACCCCGGCCU
rnacentral:rRNA from 1 species